AGAUUGAACGCUGGCGGUAUGCUUAACACAUGCAAGUCGAACGGCAGCACAGGGUAGCUUGCUAUCCGGGUGGCGAGUGGCGGACGGGUGAGUAACGCGUAGGAAUCUACCUUUUUGUGGGGGAUAACCCGGGGAAACUCGGGCUAAUACCGCAUACGCCCUACGGGGGAAAGCGGGGGACCUUUGGGCCUCGCGCAAAAAGAUGAGCCUGCGUCCUAUCAGGUAGUUGGUGAGGUAAUGGCUCACCAAGCCGACGACGGUAGCUGGUCUGAGAGGACGACCAGCCACAACUGGGACUGAGACACGGCCCAGACUCCUACGGGAGCAGCAGUGGGAAUA
rnacentral:rRNA from 1 species